UACGGAGGGUGCUAGCGUUGUUCGGAAUUACUGGGCGUAAAGCGCGCGUAGGCGGUCUAGUAAGUUGGAAGUGAAAUCCCAGAGCUUAACUCUGGAAUUGCUUUCAAAACUGCUAGACUUGAGAAUGGUAGGGGAAAGUGGAAUUCCUAGUGUAGAGGUGAAAUUCGUAGAUAUUAGGAGGAACACCAGAGGCGAAAGCGGCUUUCUGGACCAUUUCUGACGCUAAGGCGCGAAAGCGUGGGGAGCAAACAGG
rnacentral:rRNA from 1 species